rnacentral:rRNA from 1 species
ACUCAAAGGAAUAGACGGGGGCCCGCACAAGCGGUGGAGCAUGUGGUUUAAUUCGAUGCAACGCGAAGAACCUUACCUACUUUUGACAUCUGGGGAAGUUUUCUGAGAGGGAGACGUGCCGCGAGGAGCCCCAAGACAGGUGCUGCAUGGUUGUCGUCAGCUCGUGUCGUGAGAUGUUGGGUUAAGUCCCAUAACGAGCGCAACCCUUGUGUUCAGUUGCCAGCACGGUUGGGUGGGCACUUUGGACAGACUGCCAGCGUUAAGCUGGAGGAAGGUGGGGAUGAUGUCAAAUCAUCAUGGCCUUUAUAAGUAGGGCUACACACGUGCUACAAUGGUGCGUACAAUAGGAAGCGAAGCCGUGAGGGGGAGCCAAUCCUGUAAAGCGCAUCGUAGUCCGGAUUGAAGUCUGCAACUCGACUUCAUGAAGCUGGAAUCGCUAGUAAUCGCAAAUGAGCAUGUUGCGGUGAAUACGUUCUCGGGCCUUGCACACACCGCCCGU